ACCUCAAAAACGGAGGACCCAGAGUUCACUUUCCCCAAAUUCAGAGCUCCCUAAGGGACCCUGACCUACCCCUACCCACAGCCCUCCAGGGCUCCCACCAACCUACCUGUAAAAGCUCAAAGUCCCCUCCCUGCCCUUCCCUCCUCCCUCUCUCCUGCUGGCUCACUCUGCUCCAACUCCAUUCUCCCAGUGCUGCAAACUUAUUCUGACCUCAGGACCUUUGCACAUGCUGUGUCCACUUCCUGGAAUGCCUUUCUCUUGGCUUUAGAACAACAGCUUUUUCAUCUGCCAUGCAGGGCUCAUCCCAGAUGUCACCUCCUGUCAGCUUUGGUCACCGGCAGUCAGUUGUCACCCUUCAACACACAUCCCUCUUUACUUCCUCCUUAGCAACUUGCUCCUACCCAAGUCUUACCUGUUUGCUCAUUUGGUGUCAAUCCCUCUUCUCUCCCACAGUGAUUUGUGUCCUCCCAAACCAGGCACAAUGCCUGGCACACCCCAGAGGCUGGAAAGACAGUUGUUAACUGUCUGGCUACCUGACCAUUUAUUAACACCGAUGAUGUGCAAGACGCUAUUGACAGGGAUUGCAUUAACCCUGUCAUUAUUUGCAUUCUACAAAUUAAUGGUCUGAGAUCUUCCUCUGCUCUAAAUUCUUCCACGGCUCCCCAGUGUCUCAGUAAAGAUCCAAGCUCAGUGCAGCAUAAGAGGCCCUUCAGGGCUGAGUCCCUGACUUCAAGGCUGACUCCCUGGCCUCAACUACCAUGUGAAAGUGAAGUUGCUCAGUCGUGUCCAACUCUUUGCGACCCCGUGGACUGUAGCCCACCAGGCUCCUCCGUCCAUGGGAUUCUCCAGGCAAGAAUACUGGAGUGGGUUGCCAUUUCCUUCUCCAGGGGAUCUUCCCUGACCCAGGGAUCGAACCCAGGGAUUGAACUCAGGUCUCCUGCAUUGCAGGCAGAUGCUUUAACCUCUGAGCCACCAGGGAAGCCCUUCAGCUACCAUGCCUCACCUAAUUCCUCCUUGACUCCAGCUGUGCUCCUUCACACCUCCAGGCCUUUGCAAACCCAGUUCCCUCUGCCCACAUCCACGAGGACAGAGACAUUCACCUGGCUGGCUCACUGCUGUGUUUCACAUCCACCAUAGGGCUCAG
rnacentral:lncRNA from 1 species